AAGGUAAAAGGAGACAAGGAUAAUAAAAAUAUAAUACUGGCUCAGAGGUCUAGCGGUUAAGAUAUCCCGGAUUGGAUGUUCGGUAAUCUAGCAGAACAAACCAAGUCAACUUGUAUGUCGUUAAAGGGGAGUGGAAGUGCAGGUGGCACCUGUGCAACCUCUAGCGUCGUGUGGGCGGUACACAUGCAUGUGCAGCGAGAGUAACUGGUUAGCAAUAUUGAGCCAAAUGCCUCGUCAUCUAAUUAGUGACGCGCAUGAAUGGAUUAACGAGAUUCCCGCUGUCCCUAUCUACUGUCUAGCGAAACCACAACCAAGGGAACGGGCUUGA
rnacentral:ncRNA from 1 species